AGAGUGAACGCUGGCGGUAGGCCUAACACAUGCAAGUCGAACGGCAGCACGGUAAGAGCUUGCUCUUAUGGGUGGCGAGUGGCGGACGGGUGAGGAAUACAUCGGAAUCUACCUUUUGGUGGGGGAUAACGUAGGGAAACCUACGCUAAUACCGCAUACGCCCUUCGGGGGAAAGCCGGGGACCAGCAAUGGCCUGGCGCUGAUAGAUGAGCCGAUGUCGGAUUAGCUAGUUGGUGAGGUAAUGGCUCACCAAGGCGACGAUCCGUAGCUGGUCUGAGAGGAUGAUCAGCCACACUGGAACUGAGACACGGUCCAGACUCCUACGGGAGGCAGCAGUGGGGAAUAUUGGACAAUGGGCGCAAGCCUGAUCCAGCCAUACCGCGUGGUGAAGAAGGCCUUCGGUUGUAAAGCCCUUUGUUGGAAAGUAAAGCAUCGGUUAAUACCCGGUAGUUCUGACGGUACCAAAGAAUAAGACACGGCUAACUUCGACGCCAGCAGACCGCCGGUAA
rnacentral:rRNA from 1 species